UAUAACCAUAGUAUAAACAUUUUGUAGCGCAGUUUCAAAUUAUAAUUUUAUACUACAAUAAAUUUAAUAACCAAUAUAUUUUUACAAUGUUAUUGCUAGAUGGCACUUUGCAGAGAGUAAAUUCGACAUGGUGUAUACUGUUAAUGUGUCUUAUACCAGCAACGAAUAGUCGCUAUUGUGGAACUCCCCGGCGUCAAAUCAUACAAUCAUCGACUGACGAUAAAAUCGCGUACCCAUUUGCGGUAUCCCUAGAACUCGGUAGAUCUGUAAUCCUAAGGUUGCCAAUAUUCAGAAAGUGCACUGGAUCAUUAAUAAAAGACCGAUGGGUAUUAACUGCUGGCCAUUGCCUCAGCCCCAAUUUAAGAUUAGUAAGAUGUGGCAACUUAUUACUACAAAGAAAUAAGAGUGUAUGUUUAUCGAAAAUUCGCAAAAAGAUUCCACAUCCGGAAUUCGUGUUUCUCAUUGGCAAAACCGGUAAUGUUAUCAUUGAAAACGACAUCGGAUUGCUAUAUAUAGAUAGUGUUCCAAUUAAGAAAUACGGACAUAUACAUACAGGGCAUUAUAAAUCUUUUACCGGCAGAACGUGUAGGUAUGCCGGUUUCGGAACAAUAUUCCCUAUAAUUGGGACGCCUGAAAAGCAUUUGAACAGGUUGUUAAUUGACAAUAAGAUGCUUUUGCAGAUCGGCGAAGGAGUUGUGAGGGAUUGGAAUGACACUAAUUUAAUAAAAACCAUUAAACCAGUCAUGAUUGUUGGUCCUAAGUCUUUUAAAAAAUGGCAGAAGCUCCACAGGGUGGACUCAGGGUCUCCAUUAUUGAUUGACGAUAAGAUUGUCGGUGUUCACAGCGUUAGUGAUGGGCUGCGAAAAUAUACAAAUUAUUCAUUUUUUACUCCGAUUAGCCCUUAUAUAGAUUGGAUAAAGGAUAUCACCGGUAGUCCAGAGAUGUAUCUUAAUUUGUUUAAUCUAUUUACAGUACCGUAGUCAUAUAGAAAAUGAAAAAGUGUAUAAAGAAAUGAUACUCGCAAACAGAAGAGAUAAAUGGAACAAUAACGUGACGCUGCGUGCCACAAAAUGUUAAAUGUAAACUUUUAAUUAAUAUUGAUUAAAAUAUUGAAAUCUAAUUUUCUUUUAAAAUUAAUUUAACAGCAGCGACGAUCUUACUGGGCUAGAAAAGUUUGCCUAACCUAACCUGUAUCGAAUGGCGAUAAUAAUUUUGAACAACUACAAAUAAAAUACAUUUAAUAAAUCAUCGAUGUAAAAUCAUGUCGACAAGUAUAUGUGUCGUCUCAAUUAACCUAAAUAUGUUGAAUACAAUCAAGCUAAAAUCUA